rnacentral:rRNA from 1 species
GACGAACCGAGCGAACGUUGUUCGGAAUCACUGGGCUUAAAGGGCGCGUAGGCGGGUGCUCAAGUCCGUGGUGAAAUCCUCCGGCUCAACCGGAGAACUGCCUCGGAUACUGGGCGUCUCGAGUGUGGUAGGGGUAUGCGGAACUAUCGGUGGAGCGGUGAAAUGCGUUGAUAUCGAUAGGAACUCCGGUGGCGAAGGCGGGCACUGGACACUCCUGACGU